GAGAGAGAGAGCUGUUUCUAGAGGAGCAAGCCAUGGCAGGAAAGAGGAAGUGUUUCUUUUGGUUGUUGAUGCAUGCAGCUGUCAAGAGGAGGGAGCUGUAAGGCUCUCACCCUGCCCCUGUACUCUCUACUGGGGACAGAGCCUCACCUUCCCAAGAGACACCACCUGGACUCUAUCCCUGACUUUCUCUGUUGUAGCUGAGCCAUGUGGAAUGGCUCUACAUGGAUGGCUGGGAAGAAGAGUACAUCCUGGCUCUCUAGGAGACAGGACCAAGGUGAGGAGUUACAAUCUGGAGGUUGCAAACAAGACCACCCUGAAGUAGGAGUCCAAACCCUACAGCGAUGCCUACGUUUCCCUCUAACUCAGUGACUGAGACUUCUAACCGUCAACUUGGCACAGUCUAGAGGCACCAGAGGUGAGAGUCAUGAUGGAGGGAUUAUCCAGACCAGGACAAUUCAUCCCAGGAUCUCCCAAUUCCAGAACUUUCUGUCAUGGUUAAGGGAUCUCUGACAUCUAACCAUUCCUGCCUGGGAACGAGGAGUCUGGAGGUGGUGAGCAGAAAUGUUCUGGGUCUUCGAGGAGUUCCUGCAGGGCAGUCACUAAUGGAAGAAUAAGCUCCGAAAUACAAGAGCGAGUUUCGUGAAUGAUGCUAAUUCAGUUGUGAUUGCCACUUGCUGGUGGAACGCAGGUCACAGCGCAUCUUCCACAGAGAAGUUUUAACAAAAUGCCCCCACAGCUAAUUGCAGACUUCCUAUGGAAAUUCAAGCAGAAGUCUGUAAUUUAUUAAAUGGUUGAAGUUGGAAGCCUCGUAAAAUCGCUGCAGACAUGGGCAGCUGGAUCAGCCAGGGGAGCAUCGGAGGAAUGGUGAACGAGGAACAGAGUGGUCUCCUGGAGAGAUAUUGGGGCCUCAGUGUUAUCAGGACGCUGAAGAGGCACACUCAGAAGCCUUAGAACCAGGAACAGACAGACCCCCGCCAGAGGGAACUGAUCUGGGCUAAGGAGGCCCGGGAUAUGUGACAUGUUGGGAAAAUACCUAAAGGACAUGUGAUUUGAAGGGCAACGUGGACGACAAGCCAAGAAAGUCUUUUAUGACAGUAACAGAGGCCACCAAAACAGGUGCUGGGGGUGGAACACAGGCUCUCCUGCUUGGCCAGAAAGAACUUUGUUGACUGAGCCAUCUUCCACAGCCCAGGUAUGACGCUUUUGCAAGCAGAAGCAGAAGUGGCAAAUGUUCUGAGGGCCUGAGUUCUUCUUUGGUCAAAUGCUGUCCUCAGAGACAGCUGUCCCUAGGGUGCAAAGCUGCCAGGACCCCACGGUGGGCUCUCUUUUCCAUUCAGCAGACUGAGAGACUGUCAUUUCGCAUGCCUGCACUUUGGAAGCCCCCUCUACUCCUCAGUAGCUUGUGUUAUUUCCUGAGAAAAGUCCUGGCAACAGGCUGUGUGAAUUCUUCCUAUCUAGGUGCACCUCCUGUAGAGUGUUGCUCCCGACUCUGGGCUGAUACCUCCCAGACUGUCCACUGUAUGGAGUGCUAUUCUCAUCACCUUCAAGAAGGGCAGCUCAGACCCAGCUCCUCGUCCCUGAAUCCUCCCGCCCUGGCAAUGUGUCCCGGAACAGGUGCAGGCUUUGAGUUAACUGAAUUUUGCCAAGAACUCUGAAAACCUGCAUCCCACUUACUGGCAGUGAUGGAUGGGCCUCUCUGCUGGGGAUGAAGCCCUGGUCAUGGACCACUGAUGUGUUAGGAGAGAAUUCACAGUGUAACAUUUACUUUCCAGCAACAGGGCUGGGAACAGAAGGCCACAGGAGCUGAAGGGAGGUGCACCUCCCCAGCAGGUGGCUUUUGGCUCCGUCUACUGUUUAGGACUUAGAUACAAUGAAAGUACUGAAGGUCUCUGGAUACCUGGAUGCCCGUCUCAUGUCCCAAGUCAUGCCCAGGGUUAGGACCAAGAGUGGAAUUUUAAGGUGGUACAGCCGGUCUUGCAGUCACUGUCAGAGAUGCAUUUUCCUCUUGGCUGAGGGUGUCUUUGUUGUGGGACAGCAGCAAAUAUCACUGACAGAUACAAGUCUGAAAGUUGUUGAGGGCAGAUGGGAAAUACACACCCGCCAUCUUGGCUGCUUGAGAGACUCGGUCUGUGGAUCCUCUCAUUCCCACAUGAGAGCCCACAGUGGGGACUUGUGGCAGAAGGGGUGGAAAGGGAGCUUAUGUAAGUUCUUAGCUUCUGUUCUAUGAGGCACAGGGGGCCUGCACUCCUACCUGAGUUGUGGGUGUAUCCAACAUGCAGACAUUGUAAAGUGACAUUACCCUCUGUGAUAUCCAUGCUGAAUAUGCUCAUGGGUGAGUUAAAGAGGAGAAUAGGGGUGGGGGAAGACUCAGUGAUUAAAGCUCUGGUCACUUAAAUGUAAGGACCUGAGACCACAACCCACACAAAUCUGAACGCGUCUGUGAUGAGAUGGGAGGCAGAGACAGGAGGAUUCCUGGCUUAGCACACACAGCAGCAAACCAGAGACUCCGCCUCAUUAGAGGUGGGAGGCAGGGAGGGGUCUCCACAGGGGUCACUCACCUUGUCAGCUUCUAAUUCCAACACUCGGUGCCAAGACAGGAGCACUGUUUUGGGAGGUGGUGGGACCGGCUAGAGGAGGUAGGGUAGAGAGAUAGGCAUUGAAGAUCUCACCCAGUCCCUGUUUCCUGUCUGUCUCUGGGCUUCCUGUCCACCAUGAAGAAGUUCCUCCGUCACAAACUUUCACCACCGUCAUGUUCUGCCCACAUGCAUGGUGGGGGCAUGAACUGUGGACUGGAAACAGAGAAACUGCUGUCUGAAAGGAAUACUUCCUCUCAGGAAGUCGCUCCAUCUUCCUUGGGUCUUUGUCAUGGCGAUAGUCCAAGUCACUAAUUCAGGAGAUGGGGAAAUGUCUUAGGGGUUAAAGUGCCUGCUUCCCAAAUAUGAGGCCCUGGGUUCGAACCCUUGGAACCCGACUAAAGCCAGACCAGAGAGUGUGUUUCUGUUCAUCUGUUGCAGGAGAAGCCUUGGGAUCGCACAGGCCAGCUAGCCUGGUGCGUAUAGCAGCAGAGGACAGAAGGAGCUGGCCUGGAACGAGGUGGGGAGUGGGGAUAGACAUCUAUGAUUGUCUUCUGAACUCCACAAGCCAAGCCAUAGCAGGUACACACACACACACACACACACACACACACACACACACA
rnacentral:sRNA from 1 species